rnacentral:rRNA from 1 species
GGGGGCCUUUUUAGAGUUUUGGAUCUGGCUCAGAUUGAACGCUGGCGGCAUGCUUUACACAUGCAAGUCGGACGGCAGCACAGAGAAGCUUGCUUCUUGGGUGGCGAGUGGCGAACGGGUGAGUAACAUAUCGGAACGUACCGAGUAAUGGGGGAUAACUAAUCGAAAGAUUAGCUAAUACCGCAUAUUCUCUGAGGAGGAAAGCAGGGGACCUUCGGGCCUUGCGUUAUUCGAGCGGCCGAUAUCUGAUUAGCUGGUUGGUGGGGUAAAGGCCUACCAAGGCGACGAUCAGUAGCGGGUCUGAGAGGAUGAUCCGCCACACUGGGACUGAGACACGGCCCAGACUCCUACGGGAGGCAGCAGUGGGGAAUUUUGGACAAUGGGCGCAAGCCUGGUCCAGCCAUGCCGCGUGUCUGAAGAAGGCCUUCGGGUUGUAAAGGACUUUUGUCAGGGAAGAAAAGGCUGUUGCUAAUAUCGACAGCUGAUGACGGUACCUGAAGAAUAAGCACCGGCUAACUACACAGAGAAUCGGG